rnacentral:RNase_P_RNA from 1 species
CUACAAACCCGUGCUGCCGCUGCUUCUCAGGAAGUGGAGGAAAGUCCGGACAGCACAGAGCGACGCACCAUCUAACGGAUGGGGUUUUUCGAAAGAAGAAUACAGACAGCGCCACAGAAAAUGACCGCCAUAACACUCGUGCUGUGGUAAGGGUGAAAAUGUGUGGUAAGAGCACACGAUAGCUACAGGUAACUGUACUUAUGGGCAAGCCUUGCGUGAUGAAAUGCCCAAUAGGCAGGCGUUUGAGGGCUGCUCGUCCGAUGCCUGCGGGUAGGCAGAUAGAGUGUUGCCGCAAGGUAACACCCAGAUAAAUGGCAGCAGCGCAGCAGCAAUGCUGCGUACAAAAUCCGGCUUAUAGGGUUUGUAACAGG